rnacentral:rRNA from 1 species
UACGUAGGUGGCAAGCGUUUGUCCGGAUUUAUUGGGUUUAAAGGGUGCGUAGGUGGUCUAUUAAGUCAGUGCUGAAAUAUCCCGGCUUAACCGGGAGGGUGGCAUUGAUACUGAUGGACUUGAGUAAAGUUGAGGUGGGCGGAAUUGACGGUGUAGCGGUGAAAUGCUUAGAUAUCGUCAAGAACACCUAUUGCGAAGGCAGCUCACUAAGCUUUAACUGACACUGAGGCACGAAAGCUAGGGGAGCAAACGGG